UACGGAGGGUGCAAGCGUUAUCCGGAUUUACUGGGUUUAAAGGGUGCGUAGGUGGGCAGGUAAGUCAGUGGUGAAAUCUCCGAGCUUAACUUGGAAACUGCCAUUGAUACUAUCAGUCUUGAAUACCGUGGAGGUCAGCGGAAUAUGUCAUGUAGCGGUGAAAUGCUUAGAUAUGACAUAGAACACCAAUUGCGAAGGCAGCUGGCUACUCGGAUAUUAACACUGAGGCACGAAAGCGUGGGGAUCAAACAGG
rnacentral:rRNA from 1 species